AUCCGGAUGACGCCAAGCUCUGCCGCUUCCCGGAUUCCGUUUUCAGAGGCAGAGGCGGGGGACCCACCGUCCCGGGCACGAAGUGCCCUUUGGGGUUAAGCCAACACGUGAUUGUGCCGUGUGGCCGGAUGCCCUCAUCCGAACCCGACAGCUAACUCCGCAGGUGUGAGAGGCGAU
rnacentral:sRNA from 2 species